rnacentral:rRNA from 1 species
GACGGACGCUGGCGGCGUGCUUAACACAUGCAAGUCGAACGGAAAGGCCCUGCUUUUGUGGGGUGCUCGAGUGGCGAACGGGUGAGUAACACGUGAGUAACCUGCCCUUGACCUUGGGAUAACUUCAGGAAACUGGGGCUAAUACCGGAUAGGAGCUCCUGCUGCAUGGUGGGGGUUGGAAAGUUUCGGCGGUUGGGGAUGGACUCGCGGCUUAUCAGCUUGUUGGUGGGGUAGUGGCUUACCAAGGCUUUGACGGGUAGCCGGCCUGGGAGGGUGACCGGCCACAUUGGGACUGAGAUACGGCCCAGACUCCUACGGGAGGCAGCAGUGGGGAAUAUUGCACAAUGGGCGGAAGCCUGAUGCAGCAACGCCGCGUGCGGGAUGACGGCCUUCGGGUUGUAAACCGCUUUCGCCUGUGACGAAGCGUGAGUGACGGUAAUGGGUAAAGAAGCACCGGCUAACUACGUG